GACGAAGGGGGCUAGCGUUGUUCGGAAUUACUGGGCGUAAAGCGCGUGUAGGCGGUUGCCCAAGUCGGGGGUGAAAGCCCGAGGCUCAACCUCGGAACUGCCUUCGAUACUGCGGGUCUCGAGUCCGGGAGAGGUGAGUGGAAUUCCUAGUGUAGAGGUGAAAUUCGUAGAUAUUAGGAAGAACACCAGUGGCGAAGGCGGCUCACUGGCCCGGUACUGACGCUGAGGCGCGAAAGCGUGGGGAGCAAACAGG
rnacentral:rRNA from 1 species